rnacentral:rRNA from 1 species
UACGUAGGGUGCAAGCGUUAAUCGGAAUUACUGGGCGUAAAGCGUGCGCAGGCGGUUUUGUAAGUCUGUCGUGAAAUCCCCGGGCUUAACCUGGGAAUGGCGAUGGAGACUGCAAGGCUAGAGUUUGGCAGAGGGGGGUAGAAUUCCACGUGUAGCAGUGAAAUGCGUAGAGAUGUGGAGGAAUACCGAUGGCGAAGGCAGCCCCCUGGGAUAACACUGACGCUCACGCACGAAAGCGUGGGGAGCAAACAGG